GGACACUUAGUUCAGUGGGAGAGCAGUUACCUCAUAAGCAAUCAGUCACAGGUUCAAAUCCUGUAGUGUCCA
rnacentral:tRNA from 1 species